GAUGAACGCUAGCGGCAGGCUUAACACAUGCAAGUCGAGGGGCAACACGGGUAGCAAUACCUGGUGGCGACCGGCGCAAGGGUGCGUAACGCGUGAGCAACAUGCCCUAUACAGGGGGAUAAUCCAGGGAAACUUGGUCUAAUAUCCCAUAGUAUUUAGAGGUGGCAUCACCACUAAAUUAAAGCUUCGGUGGUAUAGGAUUGGCUCGCGUGACAUUGGCUGGAUGGUGGGGUAACGGCUCACCAUGGCGAUGAUGUCUAGGGGUUCUGAGAGGAAGACCCCCCAACUGGGACUGAGACACGGCCCAGACUCCUACGGGAGGCAGCAGUGAGGAAUAUUGGACAAUGGAUGGAAAUCUGAUCCAGCCAUGCCGCGUGCAGGAAGACGGCCCUAUGGGUUGUAAACUGCUUUUAUAUGGGAGCAAUAAGGUUUACGCGUAGACCGAUGAGAGUACCAUAUGAAUAAGCAUCGGCUAACU
rnacentral:rRNA from 1 species